rnacentral:lncRNA from 1 species
UUUUUCUUUCUUUCUUUUUUUUUUUUUUUGACAGGAUGGGCUGGGGUUGGGGGAGGAGGAAGCAAGAAUUAAGCAGAGAAGGCAAGCUCCUUUCUGUUCAUCUAACUCAAAAGUUUUGCUCUUGCCCGGGCUGGAGUGCAAUGGCGCGAUCUCGGCUCACCGCAACCUCCAUCUCCCAGACCCAAGUGACCACCUGGUAAUUACUUCAACAGCAGAGCGACUCAUACAGCCGGCAGUCCACUUUGUUCUUCUAUAGAUCCUGCCUGUGGUGUUGGAUCUAACAGCUUCUUCCCUGACCCAAGAUUAUGAAGGAUUUCUCCUGUGUUCUCUUCUAAAAAUUUUACAUUUAGGUACAUAAUCCAUUUUGAGCUAAUUCUUUUAAAUAGUGCAAAGUAUGGAUUGAAGUUCUUUUUUUUUUUUUUUUUUGCAGAUACAUAUUUAAUUUUUCCAGCACCAUUUGUUGAAAAGACUAAUGUUCUUGCCUGAAUAGCCUUUGCAUUGUUGUUGAAAAUCAUGUUCACACAUGUACACAUUCCACUGAUCUAUUUGCCUCUUUGUGAAAAUACUACUAUUUUGAUUAAUAUAUAUUUAUAGGGAGUCUUAAAAUCAUAUCUUAAAAAGAUAGUGGAAGUUAUUUAACCUUACUCUUGCUUUUAGAAAUUGUUUUGGAUAUUCUAGAUCUUUUGUGUUUCCAUAUAAAUUUUAUAAUCAGUUUGGCAAUUUAUUUAAAAUAUUCUUCUGGGAUUUUGAUGGACAUUACACUGAAUCGAUGGAUCGCUUUGGGGACAACUGACAUCUUAACAAUAUUGAGUCAUCUAACAUAUGAUCAUGGAAAUUGCUCCAUUUAUUUAGAUCUUCUUUCACAUCUUGAAGCAGUGUUUUGCGUUUUCAGUGUAUAGGUAUUUAAUAGAUUUAAAAAUAUGAUCCCUAAAUAUUCAAUGUUUUUGAUGCUAUUGGAAUUUUAAAAAAUUAAUUUCUGUUCUGAGGAAGGAAAAUAAUAAAAGAUUAAACAAGAAAAAUAAAAAUAAUCAAAAUAAAAGAUAAAUCAUUGACAAAUAUAAUAAAAAAUAAAAUAAUAACAAAAAA